UGGAAUAUACGAAGCUGUUAUAGGAAGUGACUUUGUCAUUACUAGAGUUGCAUUUCGAGACAACUCUUCAAAGUACUACAUAAAUGACCGUGAAGUAAUUUUACAGAGGUCACUAAGAAAUUGAAAGGAAAAAGAGUAGACUUGGACAACAAUCGGUUUUUGAUUCUUCAGGGUGAAGUCGAGCAAAUUUCUCUAAUGAAGCCAAAGAUUUGUAUUUUCAGCAUUAUUGUAAUUGUAAUUGUAAUUGAUUGAAUGAAGGAUUGUAAUUGAUUGUAAUUGUAAUUGAUUGAAUGAAGGAUUGUAAUUGAAUGAA